GUGUCAGCAGCCGCGGUAAAACGUAGGAGGCGAGCGUUAUCCGGAUUUACUGGGUGUAAAGCGCGUGCAGGCGGGUUGAUAAGUUGGAUGUGAAAGCUCCUGGCUUAACUGGGAGAGGUCGUUCAAGACUGUCAGCCUUGAGUACAGUAGAGGAAAGUGGAAUUCCGGGUGUAGUGGUGAAAUGCGUAGAUAUCCGGAGGAACACCAGUGGCGAAAGCGGCUUUCUGGACUGUAACUGACGCUCAGACGCGAAAGCUAGGGUAGCAAACGGGAUUAGAAACCCCUGUAGUCC
rnacentral:rRNA from 1 species